CUUUAAUGUCUUCCUUUCAGCCUUUCCUCCAAAAACGAAACUGAAGUUGGUGAAAAUUUACUGAAGAGCAAAAGCUGUUGAAGAACACAUCAUUUACCUUCUGGGUUUUGAAACUAGAGGAGAUCAUAAGGUGAAAAUGUCACGUGAAAGACCUGCACAAUGGACUCCUAACAGUAGCGACAUAGAGUGGAAAUUUGCCGAGCCUGUUGAUGGAAAUUUUGUGAUAGGGUGAUAACUGGUGGAAUCACUCGGGUGAAAGAGCACAUCGCUCAUAAACUGGAAACCUCGCUCCGUGUCCUCGAGUUUCAAAGGAAGCGAGGGAGAAUGUGUUGAAGCUUUUGACGCAAAAGAAGGAUAAAAAAGUUGACAAGCAGAAAAGAAAAAAAGAAUUUAUGGCAAAUUUACGAGGUGAUGAGGAAGAGGAUGAAGAUGAUUACGAAGGAUUUGUUGAAUACAGGCAGAUUAGAAAUGCGAUGGAAGAGAGUAGAAGAUCUCAUCAACAGUGGGAAGAUAUGCAGAGAGUUAGAGCACAAAUGGGUGCAUUUCGCAACACCUCUGAUAUUGGAGGUUCUUCCAGUACGACUUCUAGUGGAAGAUUAGGGAGGCGCUCGCGAAGUGUUCGAGAAUCUGCUCGCAGUGGACGACAGUGGAUCGAUCCCCAAUCAGCCGAAGCUCAACUCAGGACGACGGAUCCUCAUUACCAUUGACAUAUGGGUGCCAAGUAGCCCAAAAUAAGAACCAAAAUGGGAAUAAAUUUUCCUAGGACCCAUCAAAUUCUCAUGUUUGAUUAGGUUGUGGUAAUCCAGAUUCUCACCUUUCAAUUCCCACAUGAAUAGUAAUGUAGAUUCCCACCAAGGGGGUGGGAAAGUGGAUUCCUACUUUGAUGGGAAUGUACAUUACUAGUAAUUACUUUAUCGGUAAACUACCAUACACACUCCAAGUUUCUCAAAGAACUGGGGCAAAAGUUGGGAAGAGCAGUUAGAAAAUUUUUAUUUGCAAAUAAUAUUGCGCCAAAAGGAUGCAAUGAUGUGAAUAUGCAGGUUAUGCUUGAUGUUGCAGCUGAGAUCGGGAAGUAAAAUGCCCUACUCCUCAUGAUGUUUCAGAAGUGUACUUGAAUGAACAAGUGCACAACCUAAAGACUUGGAUUGCCGGUUUGAAGUGGAUCUGGAAAGAAAUGGGUGUUACAAUCAUGAUGGAUGGCUGGACUGAUGGUAUAUCUCACACACACUCAUCAUCAACUUUCUUGUUAUUGCUGCAAAGGUAUGGUUUUUUACAAGUCCGUAGAUGCAACUGGACUAACAAGUAGAGACAGGCAUUAUUAUUUCCAAUUGAUGGAUAAGAUAGUGGAUGAGAUUGGCGAGGAGUAUGUUGUCCGGAUCGUAACAGAUAAUGAAGCAGCCAUGAAAGCUACUGGAAAAUUGUUGAUGGCGAAAAGGAAGCAUUUAUAUUGGACAACUUGCACAACACAUUGUUUAGAUCUUAUCUUGGAAGAUCUUGGGAAGAAAAGCAGCGUGAAAAUUUUGAUUAUUGAUGCAAAGAAAAUUACUUCUUUCAUCUACAACCAUGGGUGGGUGGUCAAUUAUAUGGAGAAGCUUACAAAUGGAAAGCAAUUGAUUUGUCCUGCAACGACACGCUUCGCCACUAACUUUCUUCAGAUCGAAUGUCUCAUUAAGCAGAAAAAUAAUUUGCAGGCAAUGUUUGUUUCUGAUGGGUGGGUAAGAUCCAGAUUUGGCAGGGAGGUUUCUGGGCCAACUGCUGAGGUUAAAGACGUUGUAAUGAGCUCUUCGUUUUGGAGGAAAGUGAAAGAUUUGCUUGCGGUACUUACACCGCCGGUAAGGGUACUCGAGCUGGUGAACUCUGAUGAUAAGCCUAUGAAGUGGUAUACAUAUGAAGCUCUUGAUAGAGCCAAAUUGGAGAUCAGGAAGGACUGUCGAUAUUGGAAGCAAUAUUGGGACAUAAUUGAUGAUAGGCUAUUUUUUGAAUCCACAAUUCAGAUAUGGGGAGUUUCCGAGUGAUGAAGUAGAAAAGGAGGUGAUGGAUGGUAUGAAAAAUGUCAUCUCUCGAUUAGAGAUAGAUGUCGAUAGUCAAAUCGCAGCUCUGAAUCAGCUUUUGAUAUUUAGAGAUAAAGCUGAAUCAAUUGGUACAGUUCAAGUCCAGCAUGCAUGGAAGAAAAUGCAACCAGGUCAGAUAAGUGCUUUAGUAAAAGUCUUUUGGUUUAAAUUCAAAAAAGUAAAUGUUUUAUUUUAUUUAGGCAAAUAGUUUUAUCCAACAAUCUAAAAGAAUUUAUAUACAGCUGAUUGGUGGAUUACUUUUGGAUUACAAGCAAUUGCAAUUAAGGUGUUGAGCCAAACUAGUAGCUCAAGCAAUAGCGAGUGCAAUUGGAGCACCUUCGGUUAUAUACAUACAAAGACAAGAAAGAGAUUGAAGUACGAGAAGUUGCAAAAACUUGUUUUUGUGCAUUAUAAUAUGAGGUUGAAGCACAAGCAUAUGAUGAGGAGAAGCCGAGAGAAAAUAGAAGAAAGUUUCAAUCUGAUUACUUUUGAUCAUAUUUUUACAAGAGUGGAGCCAAUCCUAGAGUGGUUGGUAGAGAGGGAGGCUCCACUAUUAGAUGGUAAUGGAAAUCCAGAAUGGUUAAAUGAAGAGGGCACCAACAAUGAUAGAGAGGAAGGUGUCAGAUCGUCCCAGCCACAUCCAUCUGCCUCACAAUUCGUGGCCCAACAAGAGGAUCAAUCGGGGGCUAGUAAGGAAAAAAACACACAUUGAUAGUGAUAGCAUUUCAAAUUCUAACAUAGGUCCUCCAAGUUUGGGUAAUCAAGAUGGUGCUUGAAGUUAUAGUGGAGAAGAUCAAGGGUCUUAGGAAUCAUCUCGUCACAAAUCUUACCAAUUAUCACAUCUGGCGUAUGGUACGUGUGAGUCUUCUGAUGAUGAUGAUGCGCGGCCACCACGUAGAGACAAAGAUUUGAACCAUUUGAUGCAAUCUCAUGGAGAUAUGAGUGAAAGUUUCAGUCGAUUAGGAAUUGGUCUCAGAGAUGGGAAGUACUCAAAUUUAUCCACCAACUCAUUUCUACCAUGGAUAUGGGCAGAACUUUCCCGUACAAUUACCAGCCUGGGUGAGUAAUCAGUACAUGCAUGCUCCUAAUUCAUUUUGUCCGCUACAAGAUACCGCACUACCACCAACAAUUCAUGAAGACCAAGAGAUAAAUUUUGAGAACAAUGCAACAAACUUUGUGUUUGGGCGACCUUGGAUGUAUGACAGUAGAGGACAGAAUGAAGAUGGAACGGAUUCUUAUUAUGACCCGGCUUGUGAUUUCACCACUUGGUGACGAAUCAUGUAGAAUGAUGGUUAUUUGAUGUACUUUGUGCGAUUUUAUCAUUUGUAUUUGAUGCGGUAAAUG